rnacentral:rRNA from 1 species
CGGCGGACGGGUGAGUAACACGUGGAUAACCUACCUAUAAGACUGGGAUAACUUCGGGAAACCGGAGCUAAUACCGGAAAUAAUAUAUUGAACCGCAUGGUUCAAUAGUGAAAGACGGUUUUGCUGUCACUUAUAGAUGGAUCCGCGCCGCAUUAGCUAGUUGGUAAGGUAACGGCUUACCAAGGCGACGAUGCGUAGCCGACCUGAGAGGGUGAUCGGCCACACUGGAACUGAGACACGGUCCAG